AACGCGAACAACCUUACCUGGCCUUGACAUCCUGGGAAUGCCGAACAGAUUUGGGAGUGCCGCCCGGAACCCAGAAACAGGUGCUGCAUGGCUGUCGUCAACUCGUGUCGUGAGAUGGUGGGUUAAGCCCCGCAACGAGCGCAACCCUUGCCCUUAUUUGCCAUCAUUAACUUGGGAACUCUAGGGAGACCGCCGGUGACUAACCGGAGGAAGGCGGCGAUGACGUCCAGUCAUCAUGGGCUUUAUGACCAGGGCUACCCACGUGCUACAAUGGCAAUAACAGAGGGAAGCCAACCCGCGAGGGGGAGCUAAUCCCAGAAAGCUUGUCUUAGUCCGGAUUGGAGUCUGCAACUCGACUCCCUGAAGUUGGAAUCGCUAGUACUCGCAGAUCAGCAUUGCUGCGGUGAAUACGAUCCCGGGUCUUGUACACACC
rnacentral:rRNA from 1 species